GGGUUCUUGGCUCAGUGGUAGAGCAUCUGAGUCGAGUGCAGAAGGUCCCAGAUUUGAUGCCCGGCAUCCCCA
rnacentral:tRNA from 1 species